GUGAUGAUGUCUUGGGGAGCCUAGAGGUGUGAAGAGGCGGUUAUCCCACUGA
rnacentral:snoRNA from 1 species